GUUGUCUCAGCUGUGAGAGAUGCUUUGGCAGACAAGCUUCAGCUGGCAGCACCUUCAAGGAUGGCUUCAGCUCCACAGAACUUCCUCACCGAAGGUCAUGUCCUUCAGAGGGUAGCCCACAUCAAAUGACGGUGGAGGAGGGUAGACAACUGUCAGACCAUUUCAGCCCAACGAAGGACAACUGUAACGGGUUGUUUUAGCCCAAGCUUCCGCAUGAAGUUGGAACUGCUCCUACUGCCAGAUCCUUCUUCCUGCCUCCCCUUUCCAUGAGCGCUGAUGAGUCUUAGAGUCCAUCUCAGCGUCCUUCCUGGAGAACCCGACUCGUGAGACAUGGGUGGUUAAAAACACAUCUCUGCAUCAGUAAUGACCUAGCUUCUCCACGUACUCAAGGAGGAUCAGGAGUAUGACUACAUUUCACUGUGCAGUGCCCCAAGGUCUUUCCAAGUGCCUAACCAGGUUCAACGAAUUUGCUGCUAUCCUGAGACUGAUUCUCAGUAGACACAAAGGACUGGCGCACACACUAUCAUAUGGCAGGAUGCGAUGGAAUGGGAAGGUCCUCAUUAUUUCCAAGUUUUUUUGCAGACAUUCGCACAUACUGGAGAGGCAUCAAAAGGCUGUCCGGGCUUGCCUCCUUCCUUUAAUCGUGGGUCGGUCAUUUUACAUAAGGGCCAUGUUGAUAUUCCGCAAUUCUAUAAAAGUUAUCACGUGCAAAAAGAAUCAGCAGUAGGUUCAGCAGUGAUCUGUGAUGAUGAUGGUAAAAAAAGAUGUCUGUAUUCUGUAUGACAGAAAAGGAGUCACAUAAAUUCAUGAAGAUUCAUGUGGUAAUGAGUUUGAGAAGAACUGAAAAUGCUGUGCUAAUGGCCAUAGACUGCCCUUAAAUGAGUGUAUAACCUUUCCUCCGACCUCAAUAGCACACUCUUUAUUUGAAGAAAAAGUGCAUUUGGAAUGCAUACAGCAUGGAGAACAACAGCCUUUCUCGGACACAGAGCCUCAGUGAGAACACAGACGGGAGGAAGCUGCCAUGGGUUAAACCAAUUACCCUACGCUCAACUUAAUUGCAGAAUAAUUUAUAGAAGCCAAGAAAUGUUAAUUGAACAAUGAAUCACUUAGACUGAAGGAUAAAAUGCAUGUGGAUUGAUCACUAGAAAGCAAACAAAAGAUUGAAAAGAGCUUAGGAGGACUUGAGUACCUUGAAACUUAAAGCCACUAAAUAAAGAACUCCAUGACAGCAGGACUGUCAAAUGCUGGAGCAAGAAACUGAAAGAGGGUGUUAAGUCCCAGGGCUUGGCCUGGAGAGCAUCAGGUGUUUGUGCUUAUGUUUGUUCUCUCACGGAAGUAGGAAAUUGGACUAGGAGUAUUAACAUAUUUUUUUUAACCGUGUUCUUUAGAAACUGUUUCUUUUUUCCCUUAGGUAUGCUACCCUUAAGAAAUUAAGACAACUGUCAUUUCAAUGUUUGGAACACACUGGGUGUAGUGGGCAUUAGUUAAUUUCCUACACAGCUCAAGAAGCUUUUGAUGGCAUGGCUGAUGAGAGAAAAGAGUCACGCCCGGUCAUCAGGCCAACAGAACUUGGUUCAAAAUUAAACACAAAUCUGAGCGCGAUGCCUGAAGGGAAUUCUGGUCAAAUAGUGUCACUGCAAGUUUGCCAGAUUAAGUAGUGCGACGGCAUCAAGAAAAGGAGAGUGAAUAGCAAAACACUCAAUUGAGUUAAGAUCUGCCAUCAUCCUUGUAUGUCACUGAAAAUAUAAUUGUAGUUAUCUAAGAGAAAUCUUUAUUAUUUUUCUAAGCAGGGAAUAAUUUAGGAACUUUGAUAAAGUUUUGUUCGUUUUUAAGAUAAUGUAUGACUGGAUCACAGUUUUCUAGUUUUCUAACUCUCUCGGUGUUCUACGGCUCCUGGUGAAGUAACCCAACAGCCUUACUUCAAUCUUUAACUGACGUCAGAAUGAAAUAUUCUCUGACCCUUGAUUUUCCCUGGGAGACAGCAUGGAAUAGUUGGGAGACACGGGAAAUCAGAAAAAGUUCUGGCUCUGCCCUUCUUAACUAUUAACCACAAGCAAUAACUACCUCUAAUCUUCAGCUUCCUCAUCUUUUGCAUCUCAGAUAUUCUUCAUCAGCUUGUUGUAGAGAUUAAAUGAGUUAAUAAAAGUAGAUUGUUUUGCACAGUGCCUGGCAUACAAAAGGAGGAAAAGUCUGGAAGCUCUUUUCUCCCUUCCCUGCAUCUGUGAUGGAAGAUUUUUUCAAACACAAAUCACCCAGAACUGACUAAACUAGGUGAUUUAU
ensembl:lncRNA